GAAGAAGAAGAUGCAUCGUUAUGAUUUACGACGAGAAGAUUGUUUGUGUUUCCAGAAGCGUUGGGUAUCUUUAGAGAGAUGAGAAUUGAAGGAGUUAAAUUGGAAUUGCAUGACUGUAUCUUACUCAUUGCUGGUGCUCCACUUGGUGAAGAAUUGAAGGGGAUUUUGAUUCAUGUGUAUGUGCUCUUCCUCUUAUGUGGUCUUCCUCUUUUCUGUAUUUCCUUUUAAGAUUCAUGAUACAAUUUGUAUCUUAUCUAUCACGGACAGGUGAAGGUGGGAACCCGUUCUGCGUUACUCAACUUUGGAUCACCAGUGGAUGCAUCUCAGCUAUAUAAAUUACUCCAUGCCCUUCAUCCACAUCCUCAUUAGAAGAAAAAUUAGCAGGCAGAGGUGCACCUGGAACAUAUUUGUACUCUACCUGGAAGCAGUGCAGCAAAU